rnacentral:rRNA from 1 species
UACGGAGGGAGCUAGCGUUAUUCGGAAUUACUGGGCGUAAAGCGCACGUAGGCGGCUUUGUAAGUUAGAGGUGAAAGCCUGGGGCUCAACCCCAGAAUUGCCUUUAAGACUGCAUCGCUUGAAUCCAGGAGAGGUGAGUGGAAUUCCGAGUGUAGAGGUGAAAUUCGUAGAUAUUCGCAAGAACACCAGUGGCGAAGGCGGCUCACUGGCCCGGUACUGACGCUGAGGUGCGAAAGCGUGGGGAGCAAACAGG